ACGGGAGGCAGCAGUGGGGAAUAUUGCACAAUGGGCGCAAGCCUGAUGCAGCCAUGCCGCGUGUAUGAAGAAGGCCUUUCGGGUUGUAAAGCACUUUCAGUCGUGAGGAAGGUAGUGUAGUUAAUAGCAGCAUUAUUUGACGUUAGCGACAGAAGAAGCACCGGCUAACUCCGUGCCAGCAGCCGCGGUAAUACGGAGGGUGCGAGCGUUAAUCGGAAUUACUGGGCGUAAAGCGCAUGCAGGUGGUUUGUUAAGUCAGAUGUGAAAGCCCGGGGCUCAACCUCGGAAUAGCAUUUGAAACUGGCAGACUAGAGUACUGUAGAGGGGGGUAGAAUUUCAGGUGUAGCGGUGAAAUGCGUAGAGAUCUGAAGGAAUACCGGUGGCGAAGGCGGCCCCCUGGACAGAUACUGACACUCAGAUGCGAAAGCGUGGGGAGCAAACAGGAUUAGAUACCCUGGUAGUCCACGCCGUAAACGAUGUCUACUUGGAGGUUGUGGCCUUGAGCCGUGGCUUUCGGAGCUAACGCGUUAAGUAGACCGCCUGGGGAGUACGGUCGCAAGAUUAAAACUCAAAUGAAUUGACGGGGGCCCGCACAAGCGGUGGAGCAUGUGGUUUAAUUCGAUGCAACGCGAAGAACCUUACCUACUCUUGACAUCCAGAGAACUUUCCAGAGAUGGAUUGGUGCCUUCGGGAACUCUGAGACAGGUGCUGCAUGGCUGUCGUCAGCUCGUGUUGUGAAAUGUUGGGUUAAGUCCCGCAACGAGCGCAACCCUUAUCCUUGUUUGCCAGCGAGUAAUGUCGGGAACUCCAGGGAGACUGCCGGUGAUAAACCGGAGGAAGGUGGGGACGACGUCAAGUCAUCAUGGCCCUUACGAGUAGGGCUACACACGUGCUACAAUGGCGCAUACAGAGGGCGGCCAACUUGCGAAAGUGAGCGAAUCCCAAAAAGUGCGUCGUAGUCCGGAUUGGAGUCUGCAACUCGACUCCAUGAAGUCGGAAUCGCUA
rnacentral:rRNA from 1 species